rnacentral:rRNA from 1 species
AGAUUGAACGCUGGCGGCAUGCCUAACACAUGCAAGUCGAACGGGAGUAGCAAUACUCUAGUGGCGGACGGGUGAGGAAUACGUAGGAAUUUGCCCUUAAGUGGGGGAUAACCCGGGGAAACCCGGAUUAAUACCGCAUGACCUCGAAAGAGCAAAGGUGGGGGAUCGCAAGACCUCACGCUUUUGGAGAAGCCUACGUCGGAUUAGCUAGUUGGUGA